rnacentral:rRNA from 1 species
CCUACGGGAGGCAGCAGUGAGGAAUAUUGGUCAAUGGGCGGAAGCCUGAACCAGCCAAGUCGCGUGAGGGAUUAAGGCCCUGCGGGUCGUAAACCUCUUUAGCCGGGGAGCAGUGGUCCGGACGCGUCCAGACCGGGAGAGUACCCGGAGAAAAAGCAUCGGCUAACUCCGUGCCAGCAGCCGCGGUAAUCCGGAGGAUGCGAGCGUUAUCCGGAUUGAUUGGGUUUAAAGGGUGCGUAGGCGGGCAUUUAAGCCGGCGGUCAAAUGUCGGGGCUCAACCCCGGCCUGCCGUCGGAACUGGGUGCCUUGAGUGGGCGAGAAGUAUGCGGAAUGCGUGGUGUAGCGGUGAAAUGCAUAGAUAUCACGAAGAACCCCGAUUGCGAAGGCAGCAUACCGGCGCCCUACUGACGCUGAGGCACGAAAGUGCGGGUAUCGAACAGGAUUAGAUACCCCGGUAGUC